rnacentral:sRNA from 1 species
AGAAGCAGCGUCCCCUCUCACAGUAUGUCCUCCCGACGGGACACAGACUCUGAUACCCAGGAUGCCAAUGACUCCAGCUACGGCUACUGGUUCCUAAAGCUACUGCAGGCAGAAACGGAGCGGCUGGAAGGCUGGUGCUGCCAGAUGGACAAGGAGACCAAAGAGAACAACCUCUCUGAAGAAGUCUUAGGAAAAGUCCUCAGUGCUGUGGGCAGUGCCCAGCUACUGAUGUCCCAGAAAUUCCAGCAGUUCCGGGGCCUCUGUGAGCAAAACUUGAACCCUGAUGCCAACCCACGCCCCACAGCCCAGGACCUGGCAGGGUUCUGGGACCUGCUACAGCUGUCCAUCGAGGACAUCAGCAUGAAGUUCGAUGAACUCUACCACCUCAAGGCCAACAGCUGGCAGCUGGUGGAGACCCCCGAGAAGAGGAAGGAAGAGAAGAAACCACCCCCUCCGGUCCCAAAGAA